rnacentral:rRNA from 1 species
UGGGGAAUAUUGCACAAUGGGCGCAAGCCUGAUGCAGCAAUGCCGCGUGAGUGAAGACGGCCUUAGGGUUGUAAAACUCUUUCGCUAGGGAAGAUAAUGACGGUACCUAGUAAAGAAGUCCCGGCUAACUCCGUGCCAGCAGCCGCGGUAAUACGGAGGGGGCUAGCGUUGUUCGGAAUUACUGGGCGUAAAGCGCGCGUAGGCGGACUGAUCAGUCAGGGGUGAAAUCCCGGGGCUCAACCCCGGAACUGCCUUUGAUACUGUCAGUCUUGAGUCCGGAAGAGGCGAGUGGAAUACCGAGUGUAGAGGUGAAAUUCGUAGAUAUUCGGUGGAACACCAGUGGCGAAGGCGACUCGCUGGUCCGGUACUGACGCUGAGGUGCGAAAGUGUGGGGAGCAAACAGGAUUAGAUACCCUGGUAGUCCACACCGUAAAACGAUGAAUGCCAGUCGUCGGGUAGCAUGCUAUUCGGUGACACACCUAACGGAUUAAGCAUUCCGCCUGGGAGUACGGUCGCAAGAUUAAAAGCUCAAAGGAAUUGACGG